GGGACCUCCUCGCCCACGACCUGCCCCAGCAGUUGGAGAGGCUGAAGAUAAAGAAAAUCAGCAAGCCACCAGUGGUCCAAACCAGCCGUCUGUUCGCCGUGGAUACCGGCGUCCCUACAAUUACCGGCGUCGCCCGCGUCCUCCUAACGCUCCUUCACAAGAUGGCAAAGAGGCCAAGGCAGGUGAAGCACCAACUGAGAACCCUGCUCCACCCACCCAGCAGAGCAGUGCUGAGUAACACCAGGCUCCUCAGGCACCUUCACCAUCGGCAGGUGACCUAAAGAAUUAAUGACCAUUCAGAAAUAAAGCAAAAAGCAGGCCACAACCUUAACCAACACCAAAGAAACAUCCAAGCAAUAAAGUGGAAGACUAACCAAGAUUUGGACAUUGGAAUGUUUACUGUUAUUCUUUAAGAAACAACUACAAAAAGAAAAUGUCAACAAAUUUUUCCAGCAAGCUGAGAACCUGGGAAUUCCUGCACGGAAGACAAGAGAGUAGCCUCUCCAGUUUCAGCAACCGCUAGGUUUCUAUUUUUUUUCCUGGUUUUUACUGUUUUGGUAAUAUAUAUAUUGAAACAAGAAAUAUUAAUACCACAUGGGGAGAACCCCAACCAAAGAAAUCUGAAAUAUAUAGUAAAUGCUUUUUUUUCCGUUUUUGUUCAUUUUGGAUGCUGGUGCUAAACCUCCAAGUGUCAUGAUUUAAAAAAAAAAAAAAUUUAUGUCCUUCUUAUUUAUUUCUAGGAUGAGGGGAGGAUAACAUUUUUGCUUUCUUAUGUGACUCUCUUUGAAAAUGUGCAGUAAGAAAUUCCUCAAAAAUAAAAUUUUUACCCUUCAGAGG
rnacentral:lncRNA from 1 species